GAGGCUAUAGCUCGGUGGUAAAGUGCAUGCCUAGCAUGCACGAGGUCCCGGGUUCAAUCCCCAGUACCUGCA
rnacentral:tRNA from 1 species